rnacentral:rRNA from 1 species
GAUCCUGGCUCAGGAUGAACGCUAGCUACAGGCUUAACACAUGCAAGUCGAGGGGCAGCAUGGUCUUAGCUUGCUAAGGCCGAUGGCGACCGGCGCACGGGUGAGUAACACGUAUCCAACCUGCCGUCUACUCUUGGACAGCCUUCUGAAAGGAAGAUUAAUACAAGAUGGCAUCAUGAGUCCACAUGUUCACAUGAUUAAAGUAUUCCGGUUAGACGAUGGGGAGUG